rnacentral:tRNA from 1 species
GUUCUUGUAGCUCACUGGUAGAGCAUUGGUCUGAAAAACCUUGUGAAAUGGUUCGAUUCCAUUCAAGAACA